rnacentral:rRNA from 1 species
AUGAACGCUGGCGGCGUGCCUAAUACCUGCAAGUCGAGCGAACAGACGAGGAGCUUGCUCCUCUGACGUUAGCAGCGGACGGGUGAGUAACACGUGGAUAACCUACCUAUAAGACUGGGAUAACUUCGGGAAACCGGAGCUAAUACCGGAUAAUAUAUUGAACCGCAUGGUUCAAUAGUGAAAGACGGUUUUGCUGUCACUUAUAGAUGGAUCCGCGCCGCAUUAGCUAGUUGGUAAGGUAACGGCUUACCAAGGCAACGAUGCGUAGCCGACCUGAGAGGGUGAUCGGCCACACUGGAACUGAGACACGGUCCAGACUCCUACGGGAGGCAGCAGUAGGGAAUCUUCCGCAAUGGGCGAAAGCCUGACGGAGCAACGCCGCGUGAGUGAUGAAGGUCUUCGGAUCGUAAAACUCUGUUAUUAGGGAAGAACAAAUGUGUAAGUAACUAUGCACGUCUUGACGGUACCUAAUCAGAAAGCCACGGCUAACUACGUG